rnacentral:lncRNA from 1 species
CACCUCUUGGCUACUUUCUUCAGAGGCUCAACACCUCAGCCUUCCGUUUGCUCUGUCUGUCUUGCCCCACCCACCCAGUGAUUCUCAACUUCUGUUGACCGUUGCUUGGGGCAGUCAACACACCUGGAAUUAGAGGGGAGGAAGGUUGACAGGCUGUCCUUUGGCCAACUCCCUGUGACCGUCCCCCCACCUACGACACAGUCAUCCCCACCCAGGGCCAGACACCAUUCUUCCCUGAGGAAAAGGUCUCUAGGGUCCUUAUAAGAGCUCCUUUUGCUCAGGGCUCUCACUUCUUGGGCCUCUUGAGGAGGGAGGCUCUCACAGCCAGAGCCCUCUCCCCGGGAGAUGCUGGUGGCAUGGAUCCUGUUGCUGGUUCUCCAGCUCUUCUCUGUUGUUCCAGAAGUUUCUGGUCUAAGAGAGAAAAGAAGUCUCGAAUCUGGUACAAAUGGCUCCACAACUUUGCCAAGCAGCACAAAUUCAACACUUGUAGCAGCGUCCACUGACAGCAAGCAAACAAGAGAAAC